rnacentral:tRNA from 1 species
GCCUCCUUAGCUCAGUCAGGAAGAGCGCGUCCUUGGUACGGACGAGGUCGCCGGUUCGAUUCCGGCAUGAGGCUCCA